GAAGCUUCUAUCUUUUAUCGCUGGAGCAUUUACAUUCUAGAAAACAAAUUCCAUUAGAAGUAGGUAAGUGGGAAGAACGAUUGGAGUUCUACCUGAACAAAAUUACUUAAUUUACAAAAUUAAAAUGUAUUAAAGCCAUGCUAAAUUGCUAAUCACCGAUGAAAGUCUUAGCCUCCCCUCCAAAAAACAAAAGAGAAAGGAAAAAGAAAGAAAGAAACCACCCUAAGCAUAUACAGUACAAUAGCCACCGAGCAUUACAAGUUUACAACCUCAAAUGGGUGAAAAGAGAAGGAACUAGAUCAACCACUGACCAAGCAAGACCAGCAUAUUGGAGGAAUCUAAUACCCGUAUCCACAUCAAAUGAAUUCUGGUGAGAGAAGAAGAAUAGCAACUUUUGGAUAUAACCUGAUUGCUUGAUCUCAUCGGAUUUUUUAACACUUACCGAUCCAUUUAGCAUGGGUAUAUAACUAGUUGAUUUUAUGGGAAUGCUCAACGUGUUUGAUACCACAGGAAGAACCCAUUUUGCCAGGGCCUUGCUACAGAACUUCACAAUGAGUAUUGUUAGUAUUCCUACAAGCGCUCUUCCCAAAAAGGCAGGGACAGUGAGUUGGGUAAAUAUGCGUGGUACAGCUUCAUGGUGGAACUGGUGGUAUGUUUGCUGAAUCCCAGCAACCUAAUAACAUUGCAAAUUUAGUUUGUAAUUGAAAAUUCAUAAAAAUAUUCCUUCCAAGUUAAUAUUGAAAACUGAUAGGUAAUUAAAAUGAUUCUACAAACAGGUAUGAGUUCUAAUAAACUGCUUCCUCUAAGCAAAUUAUAAAUAUACUCUGCACUUUCUAAGGUUUCCCUCACAGAUGCUCCAGCAAGACUAUAAGCACAUAAUUGACAAUUGCCUUCUUUUCCCUUUAUUAAUAGUAACACGGGUGUUAGAGCAUGCUCUUACAACUCCUCAAGGUGCAGGCCACGCAUUUUAUUCCUUGUCCCUAUCCCAUCCAAUCCUAUCCCAUCCCAUAGGGAAUAACCUUUGCUUGAUAAGGACACUCAGAUAUAGGCUCGACAUUAUGACACUUAAAAUUAGUUAGAACCUCAGGCAACUGACGCAAAAACAUUCUUGCAUCAGAAACUCAUACCUGAGUCCAAGCAAAUAAAAUAUACUGUAUAGCUCAAUGCAUACAGCCUUCCCCACAAUAACAAAGGCAGAUAUUGGAAAUUUCAUUUUUAUACUCUAUAAUCAGUUACAAGAUGCUGGGACCUUGUAUGUUUCAUCUACAACUUGAGAUUUCAUUAUCAUACAACGGUGAAAAGCAACUUCUCACAGAAAACUUCACUGUGGCUAGACAGAAGAGAUGUGAGCAAUUCUAAGAAUUUGACAUUUCUAAAUUCUUUCUUGCAAAGAGGAGAGCUAGAGCAUAUGUUCAUCAUUACUUCUUUGUAAAUUAAGCACUCUAUUUUCUAUUCCAGUAUGAACUUUAAAAAGAAUUUGUGAUGCAUAAAGACCACAACACAGAUAUUUUCCUUCAUUUUCUAUUUUCUUCCCACCACAUGCACCCAAGCAUAUUUUCACUUGUCACUGUGGGCUUGGCUCUCAUAAAAUUUUCUUUUUCAUGUAUCUUUUAAGUUUCUUCCAAGCAUCUCCUCUCCCAUGUCUACCUUUGUCUUUAGAGAAUUCUCUUGAGCAAAAUCAUUGACUUUCACUAAAAACAUAUAGAAUAAAGUCCUUGAUCCAAGUUGCAUGAUCUAUGAUAACACUACUGAUAAAAAGAAGUUCAAAAGAAAAUCAAAAUUAAAUGAGAAAGCAAUUGCUUACAAUUCCAAAUGCAACACCAUUGAAGGCUGUAUGGUACUCAAAACUUGGAGUAGGAAAUUCAGGAGUUGGAUAAGCAAAAAGCAACAAGAAGCUUAGGGCAGCCCAGAAGGUCGUAACAUUUUGUCCUGAGACAAUGAAUUCAUCAACAUAUUCAUGAACAGAAAGCCAGAAAGCAAGGAUUGCCAAAUGGAAAGACCACAUAUGACAUCAAUCAAACUGUGCAUACCAAGGUAAAUCCAAAUCAAUGAAGCCCACAAGCAAGCAAACAAUGGCAAAUCCAACAAACUCCAUAUAGACAUCUUGAUUUUGGGUGUAUGAUAGGACAUAAUGCAAGAGGUACCCAGAUAAGCAAACUGUGUUAAGAGUGUGGGAAGAAGGCAAUCCGUAUUCCAAAGCGUUCUCUUCCUCAUCUUUUGUGGCAGUUAUUCUUCUAACAGGAGGGCACUUGGGUCUAGGAGCUGAUGCCACAUCCUAUGAAACAUGAAAGACAUGCAUGGGAAAAAAAUGACUUCAUGGUCGUAUUCCUGUUACAAAUGAAAGAAUCAAGAAAUGGAAAAUGGAAAGGAUCAAACCAGAAAGAAUGCAAAAAGAUACCUUUAUGCAAUUUCCUGUAUAAUCACAGAAAGCCAUUAGAAGGGUUACAGAAAGCCAUUAGAAAGGUCAUUUGCCUAGCCAAUUUGCCAUGCCCACUCUGCAGUUUUACCCAAAAGCAACUCAAUUAAAUGCUUACUUAUAAAAUUCAACACCAAACUCAUAACCCACAUUACCAGCUACCAGAAAACCAAACUAAAAUCGAAACAGAAAGAGAAAGAAAUAUACCCAGAAGAGCAAAUGAAGAAAAACAGUAUAAAAGGGCGCAGAAACAACACACGACUACCCAGAGAAUAAAGCAUCGAAAAAUCCAUGCUGGUACGUAUGCAAAAACAACAGAAAAAAAUUCAAACAAAAUAAGAAAACACACACACACAAAUUAAAGAAAAAAACGAUUAAAAUAAAAUCUGGGUUUUGUUUAUUUCGAUGAAAUCUAGCUAAAAACCUGGAUCUGGAGGAUGAGAGGAGUGCCAGUGAUGACAUUAUGGGUCACCCAAGGUUGAACCGAAGAUCUAAUCUUGUGGGUCACAUUGAGACGUGAAGAAAUGACAAUCCAUGACACAAUCCCUGUAAGAGUCACCCCUUGCCACAAUGUUAUGCUCUCCUUGAAUCUCUCACUUUCCCUCUCUUCCCAGAAACAAGAGGGAUCAAAUAAUUAAAAAAACAGAAAUUGGGAAGCAGAAAGUUUCAACCGUUGGCGGGACAUGGGCACAAGAGUCAGGAGGAGGCCU
rnacentral:misc_RNA from 1 species